UCAAUNGCCCAGGCAUGCCUCCUCCACCGAACCCACAAAACCAGCAACAGCAGUAGUGGUAAUGAACUAGAGAAGUUUAAAUUACUGUCGCAGCUAAAUUCGAGUUGUUAUUGUUGAUGCUCUGAAGAAUUGAAGAUUUGGACCUUGGACAUGUGCAUGUUGCAAACCAUCUUGUAGUUAGGGAAUUUUUUAAAAUGUGUUGAUGAGAAGUUCUAUGUUAGAAAAUCAUGUUUUCGGAGGAGGUUAUGCCAUUGCAGCCUGAGCAUUAGACUUAUAAAUCAAUUGUGUAGAUUGUCAAGAAAGGAACAAAAAUAUGAUGCCGGAUUGCAAAGACAGUGUACUGAUUUGUGAGUGUAGGACCGAUCUGUGACCCCCAUAUAUUUCUGAUUACAUAAUAUACUUAUGACUUGGGUAAUGUUGAGCAAUCUUUUUAGCUAUC